CGAAAUUCACUGCUGCAUGAAGAGCAGAUGCCACCCAUACGAUGAUUGUGCACGAGUCUAUCAGUUCUUUCCUUGUCUGCAUCUUUGGCCACCAUGGUUCGUCUUUCUUGUCUCCAUGUCCCUUUUCUCGUACUUCUUUCCACCAUGACUGAAGCUCAAUGUCUUUCUGUACCAUGUCAUCUGUCUUGUAGUAAAUGCUGCAGUAGUCCUCAACCCAUGUUUUGAUCGCUGUCCAGAUCUCGAGUCCAUCAACAGCAAAGGGGUAGUCCUCAAUUAGUAGGCGAACUCCGUGUGGGGAGCUCGAGUCUUCAAUUGCUACCCCUCUAAAACAAGGUAGAAGUUGUCAUUUUCAGUCAGUAAGAUCUGAUGUCCAUUACUUCUGAGAAAGCUAUUUAAAUUGAACUCGUAUCUCGUGUUUAUUUUUUAUUUUUAACCAAUUUUUCAGAAACAAAAUCGAGGAGUAAAGUGGUAGAUCUAUGUACCUCUUAACGAGAUCUGCAGGGAGUCCCUGAUCUGGGAAAGCCCAGUUUUUGUAAAUG
rnacentral:lncRNA from 1 species